GGUAAUUCCAGCUCCAAUAGCGUAUAUUAAAGUUGUUGUGGUUAAAAAGCUCGUAGUUGAACCUUGGGCCUGGCUGGCCGGUCCGCCUCACCGCGUGUACUGGUCCGGCCGGGCCUUUCCCUCUGUGGAACCCCAUGCCCUUCACUGGGCGUGGCGGGGAAACAGGACUUUUACUUUGAAAAAAUUAGAGUGCUCCAGGCAGGCCUAUGCUCGAAUACAUUAGCAUGGAAUAAUGAAAUAGGACGCGCGGUUCUAUUUUGUUGGUUUCUAGGACCGCCGUAAUGAUUAAUAGGGACAGUCGGGGGCAUCAGUAUUCAAUGGUCAGAGGUGAAAUUCUUGGAUCCAUUGAAGACUAACUACUGCGAAAGCAUUUGUCAAGGAUGUUUUCAUUAAUCAGGAACGAAAGUUAGGGGAUCGAAGACGAUCAGAUACCGUCGUAGUCUUAACCAUAAACUAUGCCGACUAGGGAUCGGACGAUGUUAUUUUUUGACUCGUUCGGCACCUUACGAGAAAUCAAAGUGCUUGGGCUCCAGGGGGAGUAUGGUCGCAAGGCUGAAACUUAAAGGAAU
rnacentral:rRNA from 1 species